GUGUUUGCCAAUCGGCGCCAAAACCUGGGACUCUCUCGAACAUCAAAGCAUGCCUGGGAAUGGAGAAGGCCAUGUUUUGAUUGACAGGCCAUGAGACAGGAUGACUGGGUUUAAAGGGAGAUACAGUGGCUUUAUGGUCAGUGAACUGCAGUCUGCAUCAAGAAGACUGGAUCCAGUCCUAGCCAGGACAUUGCAUAGGCUGUGUUCUUAGGCUAGACACCUAAGUCUGACCAUGUCUCUUUCGACUUGUGGUUACAGAAAGAUAGUCUGAAAUAACACUUGAAAGAAAACUGCUGUAGAAACUAGGAUAGACACUGGCAGCAACAAGUUUGGUCAAUUUUGAUAGAGGACCAGCAAGUUUUACAAGGAGAACUGCAAGUGGAGCAGCAGAUCUUGGCUGACUUGUA